GGGCAACGCACUUCCUGUCAUUCCCGGAGCACUGAACCACAGCAUGAUGACAAAUAUGGCAAGACGUAGGUAUACAUCACGACUCUUCUGUUCUGGCUCCGAGGUGGUGGACCGGACCUCUGCUGGAUGUCCGAACAACUGAGUCAAUGCCCAUUUUCAUACGAUGUGUGAAGACCGACCUCUUCCUCAAACUUUUAAAGGAGCACUAGAACCUGUUUGUUUCAUGUCUUUAUGUUAAAAAAAAAAAUUUAUUAAAUAAUUCCUUCCAACAGAGUUUUAGGAUGAUGGUAUCUUAAGUUUGCAACCAAUUGAACCAGUGUUGAGACAUGUGCUCAUGUACGUCGUUCUGGAUAAAAGCAUCUGCUAAAUAGCAAAAAUGUAAAACGCUAUAGUUCCUGAAAUGAUGAAAGUAUCAGCAUCACAUAUUUUGAAGUAAAAUAUAGUUUGGCCUCGUUUUGAGAAGGUCGUUGGUUCAUAAUGCGAUGAAAUGUAUCUCUAGUGAAAGCUGGAGCUUUGGCUUGUUACAUCACCAACAAACAUGCAGCUCGACAACAAUGCACUCCACCUUGUUUGCUGGAGCAUGUGUGCUGGUAUUGGUCCUAGAACCCUCUCCAUCAUGGCGAGAUGCUCCCUGCUAUCAUGAGUCU